rnacentral:rRNA from 1 species
CGUGCCUAAUACAUGCAAGUCGAGCGGAAUGAUGAAGAAGCUUGCUUCUUCUGAUUUUAGCGGCGGACGGGUGAGUAACACGUGGGCAACCUACCUUGUAGAUUGGGAUAACUCCGGGAAACCGGGGCUAAUACCGAAUAAUCCAUUUUGCUUCAUGGCGAGAUGUUGAAAGACGGUUUCGGCUGUCACUAUAAGAUGGGCCCGCGGCGCAUUAGCUAGUUGGUAGGGUAAUGGCCUACCAAGGCGACGAUGCGUAGCCGACCUGAGAGGGUGAUCGGCCACACUGGGACUGAGACACGGCCCAGACUCCUACGGGAGGCAGCAGUAGGGAAUCUUCCACAAUGGACGAAAGUCUGAUGGAGCAACGCCGCGUGAGUGAAGAAGGUUUUCGGAUCGUAAAACUCUGUUGUAAGGGAAGAACACGUACGAGAGUAACUGCUCGUACCUUGACGGUACCUUAUUAGAAAGCCGCGGCUAACUACGUG